AGGAUAAACGCUGGCGGCGUGCCUAACACAUGCAAGUCGAACGCUCUUUUCCUUCGCAAGAGGGGGAGGGAGUGGCGGACGGGUGAGGAACACAUGGGUGACCUACCUUUCAGUGAGGAAUACCGGCGAGAAAUCGCCGACAAGACCGCAUGAGCUUCUCUCGGUGAGCGAGGGAAGGAAAGCUCUUUUUCGCGAAAACGGAGAGGGGCGCUGGAAGAUGGGCCUGUGGCCGAUUAGCUAGUUGGUGAGGUAACGGCUCACCAAGGCGACGAUCGGUAGCUGGUCUGAGAGGACGAUCAGCCACACUGGGAUUGAGAACGGCCCAGACUCCUACGGGGGGCAGCAGUGAGGAAUUUUCCGCAAUGGGCGCAAGCCUGACGGAGCAACGCCGCGUGCAGGAAGACGGUUUUCGGAUCGUAAACUGCUUUUCUCGGGGACGAGAACGGACGGUACCCGAGGAAUCAGCCCCGGCUAACUACGUGCCAGCAGCCGCGGU
rnacentral:rRNA from 1 species